CAUGAUUGCCUGGCUUAUCAUUUUCCUUGGCUACUCCUCUUAUGGGGGAGAUCACCUUCAAUGGAAGAAAUGGAGAAAACUGGGGAACACUAUUCCCUAGCUUCUAAUCAGGUCUCCUUAUGAAUCCUAGACUGGCCCAGAACAUAAGCUUAAAAAAGAAGACAAUGAAUACAGAUCUUUGAGCAGGAACUGCUACUGAGACUUCUGUACUUGAACACUUCCCCAGCUGGUGGCACUAUUCUGACAUGCUGUGGAAGCUUUAGGAGCUGGGCCCCAACUGGAGGGAAUGAUCCACUGGAGCAGGUAUGAUUCUGCCUGAAUGCUGUGCUUCCAGACUGCUGAGGAGAUGUGAGCAAGACACCUAACACUAGCACAGCAAGAGUUCCCAGGGUGUUAGUGCUUGAAGUCACAGGCAUGCCGGAAUGAAAUAAAACCAUCUUAUGCAGAGCUGAUUCUUUCUGAGUAUGACGAAAAACCCCACAGGAAUGUGAGCUGUGUCCUGGCAAUCCUGCAGCAUGGGGAGCCUCCAUUGCCUUCAGGGUGCCCUUAAGUCAGCAGCAGAUGGAAGCUCCACGCUGUGCCCAUCAAUCUGAGAAUCCCCUUUCUCCUUCAGGAUCUCCACAUAGUCAUAGCUGGAUCUGUGCUUGCACUGUAGAAAGGAAUUUCAAGAUAAGCCAAAGUGAACAGAGGAAAUUCAGGAAAACCUUGGGACUUCCUGUUUUAUGACCUAUUUCUACACAGGCUUUGGGCCUGGGUUGGGACAGGAUAUAGAUGCAUUUUGAGCUGGAGUAGAGAUGACCACCAGGGCCCAAUGUUCUCAAGGGACUCACCCAGGGCAGAGUCUCCAUCCCAUGAGCAGAAACAGGGCUAGUCGUUGGAAAAGGAAGCAUCAUUUUUCCUCAGUCCGGCCAUCCACCCAGUGUUUAGUCUCUUCAAUGGAAAUGAAGAACUGAACUAAGAAAAAUGAAGCCUGUCCCCAACUGUGAAGACAUUAUAACUCACCUACCAGAGCUAUGGUGACUCAGAAGACCAUAAAUGACUGCUGUACUCUACAUGAACAGCCUCGUCUCUUGGUCUCCAGAAAACAAAGCUUCAAGUACGCCUCUGCCUCUGUUUGCUGUAGUAUUCCUGUGACCAUGCCCAGUGCUCCCAGUCUUCAGUGUGGACCGAAAUUGAACAUCAAAUGGAAUCAGCCUGGUUAUCAAGUCUUGGAAAAACACAGAGGUACCUUAAGUUAGGUAACUAUGUUCAGAAGCCAGACUGGACCUCUCUCCUACAUAUCUCCAACCAUACGGCAUUCUGGGAAAGGCAAAACUGAAGACAAAGGCUGGGUGGGUGCGUGGGAGAGGAAUGCGUAGGUGGAGCACAGAGGAUUUUUUCCAGCAAUGAAACUCUUGAAAGUUACUAAAAGGGUGAGGGAUGUCACUGGGCAAUUGUCCAAACCAAUAUGUUGGUACUUCAGAAGGCUCCACAGGCACAUGGCAGGGAGGAUACAGUGAGUUCUGUGUCUUGUUCACAGCUUUGCUGUGAACUUGAACUGCUUGUGAUGAUUGAUUUUCAUGCCAGUUGGAACCACCUGAAUAGGGAGCCUCAACUGAGAAACUUUUCUGAUUGCCUUAACUGAUUUGAUAAGACAUAUUCAAAUGCGGGCAGCACCAUCUGGUCGGAACCCAGAUAAAAAGGGGGCGUGGCAGCCGAAGACUGAUCACCUUUUGCUGGCUUGAUCUUUCCUUUUACCACAGACUUAAUUUACCCUCUUGCCACUGCUGAGUCCUUCACUUACAUCAAAACCAGUGUUUCCAGCCUUCCCAUCAUUGACUAACGGUCAGCGGCAGUUCAGGAACCUGACAAGGUUUUUGGUAACAAUUUGGGAUGGCUGCAACACCCAGUUUAAGGACUCAGCAACUACCAGGUUCCCAGCCUCUCAGUUCUGAGAGAAAUGUUACAUUUCAACUUAAACUGAUUUAAUACAUUGAUUUUUUUAUGUUCAUUCUAUCAGUUCUGUUCCUAUACAGAAUCCUAACUAAUGCACUGUCUAAAAGUAAAGGUAUUAAAAAAAUAAUAAUAACAUAGGGCUGAAGAGAUAGGUCCUUGUAAGAGUACAAAC